rnacentral:tRNA from 1 species
GGACAGUUGGCUGAGCGGCUUAAGGCGGGGGAUUACUAAUCCCUUGAAGAUUUACGUCUUCCGUGGGUUCGAAUCCUACACUGUCCGCCA